rnacentral:rRNA from 1 species
AGCGAACGCUGGCGGCAGGCUUAACACAUGCAAGUCGAACGCAUCCUUCGGGGUGAGUGGCAGACGGGUGAGUAACACGUGGGAACAUACCUUUUGGUUCGGAAUAACUCAUGGAAACGUGAGCUAAUACCGGAUACGCCCUUUUGGGGAAAGAUUUAUUGCCGAAAGAUUGGCCCGCGUCUGAUUAGCUAGUUGGUGAGGUAAUGGCUCACCAAGGCGACGAUCAGUAGCUGGUCUGAGAGGAUGAUCAGCCACACUGGGACUGAGACACGGCCCAGACUCCUACGGGAGGCAGCAGUGGGGAAUAUUGGACAAUGGGCGCAAGCCUGAUCCAGCCAUGCCGCGUGAGUGAUGAAGGCCUUAGGGUUGUAAAGCUCUUUUAUCCGGGAAGAUAAUGACUGUACCGGAAGAAUAAGCCCCGGCUAACUUCGUACCAGCAGCAGCCGCAG